UUUAAUUUUUCACUGCAAAAACACCAAAUAUCACCAAAUCUUAUCCUCAUAAACCCGUCUGAGUCCCAAGAUGCUGCCAUGAAGAUCCAGGAGCUGUGUGUGUUUUUCAUGCCAGUUUGCGCCAGCAGCACUGCUGUAGUUAUCACACAAAGGGUCUGGUGUUGCUGCAGCCUCUGAAGUGAAGCGAGCUGCUGAGUCACAGCCCUCUGAACUCGCAGUGAACUUCUCUCUGCUUCCUCCAUUCUUCUGGACUGGCGCAAACUCAUUUUUUCUUCAAACAUUUCAUCUGAGCUUCGUGGUCGGGGUCACUGCUGCAGUUCGUCAUGCCGUCUUUGUGCCGAGAGUCUCCAUGAGUCCUGGAUGCUGCUCCUGAAUCCACUCCAGCACCUCUUCCACGGACCAGGACGACACCCGAUGCAGUUCGCUCA